ensembl:lncRNA
CAGACCGCCCAUCCUCUGCCCCCAGGCAGCCCUCAGGGCUCACAUGUUCUUUUUCCUUAGGCUCAGCCCAGCUGUGGAUGUCCUAGAUGGGACCUCAGAUGCGGCUGGUGUUGACAGAUUUCCUGACACGGAUGGAGAGGCGGGCACCUCGACGCCUGAUUCAGGAGGCCCCCAGGAGGUGACCUACGCCCAGCUGAACCACAAGCCCCUCACCCAGAGGGCAGCCAGAGCUGUGUUCCUGCUGUCCACAGAACCCCGGGCCGAGUCCAGCACGUAUGCAACCAUUGCCAGACAUUGACCCCACACCCACCUGGCCUCUGCAGUAAAGAUGCAGGAAGUCACACUUGCAAAAGCCCGAAGUGGACAUUGGGAGGGUUUCCCUGUGGAAUCAUUCCUUUCUGGAAAGACAUCCAGUCAAUCCUCCUGCAGGCAAGAGCUGGAGUCCUAAGACCCCACAUUACCUUCUAGGAGAUUCACUAACCAUGUGGUCCCUCCCACAACCAACUAGCUCCUUGGAGAGAAGGUGUAGCACUUGUUUCAAGAGACCCAGCUAUGGUGUUUGUUGGCUGUUUCCAGAGAUCCACCUAUAGUUCUUGGCUGUUUCUAGAGACCCAGCUUUGGCACUUGGCUGUUUUCCAGAGACCCAGCUAUUUUCCUACAGUUGCCCAGUGGAUUCCAGACAUGUCCUGUGUAUCUCCCACUGCCCCUGGAGAACCAUUUUGUCUUCUCAGCUGACUCUACAAACCUUCUAGAGUUCGGGUGGGGAUCUUGAAUCUGGGCUGCGCUCAUGCAGCUGAUAGCUGAUACCCAGUUCUCUGGAUCACACUUCACCUUGUUCGUCAGUCAAUGUUCUCCCAGGUCCAAGUGCAUCAGCCCUGCAUGUGGCACUGGGUACACGGGUUCUAGGUCCCAGUCUCUGCCUCCACCGUCCCCCAAAACUCAGUGAGGGAAACAAGACAAAAACAAGCCAAUCAGUGUUUUCCAACCCAAAGGUGUGUCUGAGGGGACUUGUGUCUGGGGGAAGGCGCAGAGCUGCCCCACCUGCAUACAGCUCCCAUCCCCUGCACGCACAGGUCCAUGAAGGCACGCACACACAGAUACACUUACACACAUGCACACACUGUACACACAUACACUCAUGCAUACACCUGCACUCGUGGGCACGGCAGGCUGGCCGAGGGAGUUGGUGAGGCCAUGGCUGCACAGGGAGGGCCCCUCAGGCUUUAGCUCCACCCAGAGGAAGAGGCAGACCCCCAUUUCCCACCCCACCCCAGUUCAUCCCCACUGGACGUCGUGCAUUUCCCCAAACACGAGAGGGCCCAGCAGCUGCAGGACACUGUCCUUGACCUGACCUUCACCCCUCACCGGGCUAAGGCCCGUCAGAUUUGGGAUUGGAGGCCAUUCAUCCCAACAAGUGUACAACUGCUGCUGUAACAAAUUACCACUCACAUAGCAGCACCAAACAACGCAGCUUAUUACCCUACAGUUCAGGAUGUCAGAAGUCUGAGAUCAGUUACACGGGGCUGAAAUCCGGGGUGGGCAGGGCUGUGUUCCUUCUGGAGGCUCCAGGGGAGGCUCCAUUCCUUUACCUUUUGCAGCGUCUGGGGGCUGUCCGCACUCCUUGGCUCAUGGCCCCUUCCUCCAUCUUCAGAUCCUCCCUCUGACUAGGACUCCUGCUUCUGGGGUCACGUCUCAUCUCCUCACUCUCUGACCCUCCUGCUUCUCUCUUGUAAGAACCCUGGUGAUUACAUUGGGUCCACCUAGAAUAUCCAAGGUCAUCUCCCCUUCACAAGAGCCUUAACUCAGUCACACCUGCAAAGACCCCUUUUGCACCUAAGGUAACACAGCAGCUGGUGCCUGCUUACCUGAGUGGGUGUCCAUCCGCAGCACCACCUCCGUUCGUGGGCUCCUCUGGGCUUGAAUGCCUCACUGAAUUCUGUGCAUCUCCUUGCAGGGAUGUUUCCUUCUGUUUCCACUAGCUUGUGAAAGAAUAAAUUCUUCAGAGUCUAGUUCCUGUGUCCCUAGAGCCUCUGUGUAAGAGGAGGUCGAGUAGAAGCAGUGGAGACUAGAAACACCCCCACAGUGUGACCCCCAGGUGCCCAUAGGGGAGGUGGCCCCCGUGUGACAGGACUGCGGCUGCCACCAGCCCCAUGCCCUCCCUUCCUGGGCUCCCAGCGAGGUGAUCUCCCAGCCUCCUUGCAGUUACGCGUGUCCUGGGAAGACGUUCACAGUGAGCAGGAUGCACGGAGCCGCUUCCAGGCCUGGCCCCAAACCCUCCCUCACAAGAUCCUGACUGUUGGCCCUUCUGCUGGUGGAAACGGAUGCCCUGGGCGACCUCGGCAGCACACACUGAGUGUGGGGCCCGGCUCCGAGGAUGACGGUGGAGUAGAGCGCCCUGUACCUCUUGUGUUAGCCCUGUUUCAGGUUUCUGUAAAGUUGAUGCUUUAACAUGUGUGAUACACGCAUAUUCUUGUGUGAACAUUAAUAAAGGGAAACCUUUAAAACGGAGUUGGGAAGCCUAGAGGGGCGCUCUCUCGCCAUUCCCCUCUGUUGCAGCUUACUUUACAUUCCCGGGCAGGAAGACAGUUACCUUAAUAGACAGCAGUGGAAGGAUGAUAUUCUCCUUGCCCAGCAACAGUCCAGCCAAUGAGAAAGAGCAAUAAAUCAGCUAAUGAGAAACAGCAACAACUCAGCCAAUGAGAAAAUAGCAACAUCCUGGCCAAUGAGAAACAACCGUAGCCCAGCCAAUGAGAAACAGCCACAUCCCAGCCAAUGAGAAACCAUCAUUGCCCUGAACACUUGCUUUUCUUCAAGGGGCUUUGAUUCAAAGCAGCCUCUUCCAGCUUCCUCCUUUUUGACUGUUAAGUGAUAUUCCUCUCCUUUGUUCUCUGGAUUUGACUGGUUUGCCAUAGUUUGAAUGUCCC